UACGUAGGGACCAAGCGUUGUUCGGAUUUACUGGGCGUAAAGGGCGCGUAGGCGGCAAUUCAAGUCAUCUGUGAAAUCUCCGGGCUUAACUCGGAACGGUCAGAUGAUACUGCUUUUGCUAGAGUGCGGAAGGGGCAAUCGGAAUUCUUGGUGUAGCGGUGAAAUGCGUAGAUAUCAAGAGGAACACCUGAGGUGAAGACGAGGUUGCUGGGCCGACACUGACGCUGAUAGCGCGAAGGCCAGGGAGCAAAACGGG
rnacentral:rRNA from 1 species